rnacentral:rRNA from 1 species
UAGGGAAUCUUCGGCAAUGGACGAAAGUCUGACCGAGCAACGCCGCGUGAGUGAAGAAGGUUUUCGGAUCGUAAAACUCUGUUGUUAGAGAAGAACAAGGACGUUAGUAACUGAACGUCCCCUGACGGUAUCUAACCAGAAAGCCACGGCUAACUACGUGCCAGCAGCCGCGGUACUACGUAGGUGGCAAGCGUUGUCCGGAUUUAUUGGGCGUAAAGCGAGCGCAGGCGGUUUCUUAAGUCUGAUGUGAAAGCCCCCGGCUCAACCGGGGAGGGUCAUUGGAAACUGGGAGACUUGAGUGCAGAAGAGGAGAGUGGAAUUCCAGGUGUAGCGGUGAAAGGCGUAGAUAUAUGGAGGAACACCAGUGGCGAAGGCGGCUCUCUGGUCUGUAACUGACGCUGAGGCUCGAAAGCGUGGGGAGCAAACAGG